CAUUCCAUUAAUUUCAAUUUGAUGCAGGUAAUACACGACCAACUACAAGUCUCUCUCUCUCUCUCUCUCUCUCUCUCUCUCUCUCUCUUUCUCUAUCUCUCUCUCUACCCCCUACUGUUCGACAACAACCUAGGCACCCACCACCCCUCGUCUUCUCUCUGGUUCAUCACCGCCACCAAUAAAGCCCCAUUAUACCACAAGAUUAAAGAACGAAACAUUGGGUUUGUGUUUUUGAAUCCCAGGGCUGCUCAUGGUGUGAUGAUGAUGCGAAGAAGGGUGACAUCGGUCCGCCGAUUCACCCCUCCGACUUCUUACACCUGGCUUCAUUCAAUAAUUCUGGAAAUUAGGGGACAAAGAAAAUGGUAUUGCCUGGCUUUGUUUAUGGUGGUUCCAUAGGCGGACCUCCCCCCAUCCCCAUGCCAACUUAUCAGAACAGAGAAUAGCAGCAACAGGGGACUUCUGAGAGGUCAAAAAGAAUAGUUUGAGUCUAGAGCCUGAGUCUCUUUGUUAUGAGGAUGGAGAGUUAGAGCUGGUUUAUGGAGAGACGUGAGCAAAUAUUCAGAGGUUCCUGUGUCUGAUGAUGAUGGCACUCAUGCUUGUUAUUGGGUUUCCUCUAGCCAAAGACAUCUUAAAAGAAAAUGUUAGUGGCUUAAAAUGCAAUUUUUAUGGCUGCACUUUCAGUUCCUCCAUAUGAUCACCUGAAAAACCGCUUCUCAUUUGGAAAUUGAGCAUGACAAAGAACGCAAUUUGAGAAUGUAUCAUCUUAUUUGCUUUAAUAUCGAUGCAAAGCUCCAGACAAGAGAAGUGCUCUCCAGGUCAUCUCUUAUGGUAGGUCUGGUUUCUAAAGGGGUGAUGAUAUUUGUACCUCAAGAAGUGAAGGAUCUGUAUCAUCUUCUAGAAAAUGAAUUUCUUCCUUUGGAUUUAGCGUCAAAAUUACAGCCUUUGUUGACAAAGAUAGCAAAACUUUCAUUGAUGGAUUGAACUCAAGCUAAUUUUAUGAAAGAUAAUUACAGAAGGCUGCAGUAAGGACUAAGGAGGUGAAAAUCCUCAUGAACUUGAGCAUCGCCUUCCCAUUUUCCGCAAACCUGUUGGUGAUGACUACCUGGCCCUCGUAACAUUUGGUUGGUUUGGCUCUUUUUCGAAGUAACAUUUCUUUUACAUGAAAUUUAGGUGCUAAUUUUUAUAUAUUUCUAUCACUUAUAUCGAUUCAUAAAGGUGUUGUGUCAGUGGUAUCCAACAAUAAAUAUGGUGAACAGGUGAAGAUUAUGACGGGGAACAAUAAAUGGGCAACAUACUAUACUCCCAAUGUUGGUUUGAUUGCAAAAUUGGAUAGCUUAAUAAAGAAGUUGGCAACUACCAGUUUUUUUCUGAUUCAAGGUUCGAAAAGUUAGGUGGUGUUAUUUUGAUACUGUCCAAGUUUGGUUGAAAGUGCAUGUUUUGUGGAGGAUCAACUAUUGUUGCCCUUGUACACUAUGGCUUCCUUCUACAGAAGAGCUUGAUGAAUCGAUGUUAGAAGCUCUUGGAAUCCUUACACAAUGACUUCUCUCUUAACUAAUUCAUCAAGAUCUAAGCAUGACUUCUCUCUUAACUAAUGGUUUUGAAAUGGAAACCCAUAAACCUCAGUGUAGAAUGCAAGUAAUCGAAUCAUAGCUUGUUUAUGUGUUCUAUUUAGAUGUUCGUACAUUAGUAACACAAUUCAUUGAUUUAUAUUUCUUCUUUUGUGAUGUACAAUUUACCCAACUAUCAGAACUCUUAUAUCUAUACCGAAGUUCUUUGUGACCAUAGGAGUCAAUUUGGGCACUUUUCUUGAACUCGGGGAGCAUUCAGUUUUUAGGAUGUUGUUGUGACCCAAUAUCAGUUGCUGAGUUUUAGAAGUUCACAAAAUCCCUAAACAUACACAUGAUUGAAGUUAGCCCACCAUUAAAGAAGAUCCAAAAGCUUACUUUAAUAUGACUGAAGUACUUAUAUAUUGCCUGGGUUGAUUCAUGGGCAAUGUGAGGUUCUUCCUCCAUCUGUUGGUGAUCCUAGCAAUCUUGAUGCCAUGGGCCUCUUAGCUUCAAACAAAGGCAAACCCAUGGAAGCCAUUGUAGAACAAGUUGGUGAUGGAAGUUCACUUCUUGUUUAUCUGCUUCCAGAGUUUCAGUUUGUCCAAGUAUUUGUUGCUAGAAUCCACGUACCACAUGCAUCCUUUUCUGCAAAUAUUUUUUAAAUGAUAAAUAUCUAUUUAACAAUAUAUAUGUAUUUAAUUAAAGUUUAUUUUAUAAAAUUACAUAUUUUCAUUAUUAAUCAAUUUAAUUAUAUAUUUAAUUCUAAUUUAUCUAAUUGUUUACUAUGUAUAAUCAAUGGGGAGAAGCACAACACGAGAACCUACAAUACCAAAUGAGGUCUCAUCCGAAGAGACAAAUGGAGAAAAUAAUAAUUCAGUGUCAUGUGGGCCCUUAACAUCAGCCCAAAGAAUCAUAGCAUCAUCAGGCUUCAAUGAAGUGUCCCCUGAUCCUUUUCGGAGGGAAGCUAAACAUUUUACCGAGAUCCAUGUUCUAAACAGAGAUGUCCGGAUUGUUUUGGAGGGCGUUGACAAGUUUAGCAAUCUGAUUGGUUCUGUAUAUUAGUCUGAUGGAGAAUCAGCAAAGGAUCUGGCAAUGGAGCUUAUUGAAAACGUGCGCACAUUGAGAGAAAAGUAUCCGAAGCUUGAUAUAGAGCUUCCCGCUCUUGAAGAGUCUCCCCAAUACAAGCAAUCACCUUCAAACAUUGAGAAAGCGCAUACGCAAAUUAGUCUCCAACAAACUGAUCAAAAAAGUAAUUUGGAAAAGGUGCGGUCUUGCAAGUUUUUACCCUUAGUAUACCAAAUUGCUUCAAGGUUGGGCAGCUAAAAAGAUAGCCAGGGACCUAAUACUCUUCAGGAUUGUUCUGAAUUAUUAUGACCAUUUUGCCCUUAUAGAAAUUUUGACAUCAACAUACAUGGACACAUUUCUUUUAGUGUAGAUUUUGUCGAAGAGAAAUGACACCAAAGAAGAUAAGUAUCUCCUAUUUUUUGUAUAUAUACACUUUUUCUUCUUGUUUAAAAACUAUAUAGUUGUGAAAAUUGAAGGUUCACACACCGUUUAUGUAGGCAACCUUAGCCCUGAAGAAGUACUUUUUCUACAAAUGUUCCUUAAGGUAGUGGAGGGCCUUUAUGUAAUGUGAUGGAUCAACCUCUUUUAAAGUUUCAUCUACAUCUAGUUUUAUUCUUUAGACAUGCUUUUUGUAUUUGGUUUAAUAGCUGAGGAUCAUAAUCAAACCCAAGCCUUGUGUUGGUGUAGGGCCUUUAUGUAAUGCACAACAUGUUUCAGUGAUGGCAUGAAAGUGGUAUUAAGUGUUUGCAUUCUUAUUAUAUUAUACCCCUCACAUUUUCCCAAAUUACCCCUUCCUCUACACUGCUUUUUUUGUUUCUGUGUAUUUUGUGCAUCAGGUAAAGUUGAUGGAAGAAAGGUAUGAAGCCACUUGAUUUAAAUCUUGCAGCAUUAUCAGCAAGAUGCAAUAAAGACUUGGAGUUGAAUUUGGCUAAGUCAUUAUUGAGUGAGAUGGGCCAAUGUACAAUUGCUUAUCCAUAUAAUCAGCUGUUUGGAGCAUUAGUCGUAAAGAAUUAUGAAAGGCAAGAUGCAACUUUACUUAGUUGGAAUUUGAUAUACAUAGUAGAUUAGAUGAAAAUUUAUAUAUUGUAAGAAAUAGAAUUGUAUGAUAUUAAAUUUAUGCAAUGGAUUCUAUUUUUUGUC